UCGGAUAUGGUGUAACGGCUAACAUUGCCGCCUCUCAUAUUGCAGUUGCGCGGCAGCUCGGGGUUCGAUUCCCCGUAUCCGAA